rnacentral:rRNA from 1 species
GUAGGUGGCAAGCGUUGUCCGGAAUUAUUGGGCGUAAAGCGCGCGCAGGCGGUUCUUUAAGUCUGAUGUGAAAGCCCACGGCUCAACCGUGGAGGGUCAUUGGAAACUGGGGAACUUGAGUACAGAAGAGGAAAGCGGAAUUCCACGUGUAGCGGUGAAAUGCGUAGAGAUGUGGAGGAACACCAGUGGCGAAGGCGGCUUUCUGGUCUGUAACUGACGCUGAGGCGCGAAAGCGUGGGGAGCAAACAGGGAUUAGAUACCCUGGUAGUCCACGCCGUAAACGAUGAGUGCUAAGUGUUAGGGGGUUUCCCGCCCCUUAGUGCUGCAGCUAACGCAUUAAGCACUCCGCCUGGGGAGUACGGUCGCAAGGCUG